UCUGAUUCUGCGAUCUUCUUUUAUUGACUUGAAUCACCAGUAAGGUAGGAGAGCUUGUUCUCCUUAUAGAUUUGGGAAAGCAUGUGUUGAAGGGCAAUACCACAAUAUACUUACAAGGAGGCCCAACACUCGAGAGUUCCCCAUCUCUCUCCUCCGCCUCUACAAAAAUUGGAGACCAGCCUUUUGGCCUUAUUUCGACACCGCCACCAUCAAGCGACGGCGCAUAAAGCAGGGAGAAAACCCCAGCCAACCCGUCGCUAGUUUCAGAUCUCCACUCUCUCUUAAUCAAAGCCAUCAGAUUCGCCUCACCAAAUUGAAAAGAGAUAGUCAUCUUCCAUUGUCCCUUUCUAGAAGAAAGAUGUAGGGAAGAGAGUGGCCUAAGAUUCGUCAUCUUCCAUUCAUCACGAUUAGUUGGAAAUAUUGAAAUCGAGAAUUGACCAACACAGAGUACAAUAAGUUUCUUGAAGUGCCGACAUCGAGACAAAUAAGUUGCAGAGAGAUAGAAGUUCCUCUAUGAUAGUCUACCUAACUGAUUCGUGGGGUGCGAGCUUCAGCUGUGGAAUCCUAAGGCUCCUCUAAAUCGCAUGGAGAAAGCUUGGUUAAUCUCUAAGCAACCAAGGCCAGUUGCAACUCAAAUGGGCAUAUUGAAUGCAAAUGGGAUAAGUUGGGAUUUGAGAUUAGAUUCAGCAACUCACAUACUUGCUAUUGUGAUACUAUGCUGGCAUGAUGUAGAAGCUAUCUAGGCUACAAUGGAGUUUGGUGAAUUCUAGUAGUUACGUAUGUAAGUGAAAUGGCUGAAUAUUCCAAGUGAGGUGGUGGGUGCUUGUUGUCUUAUUUACAUUACAAGCUCUCAAGAUGAUCGAAUACUUGCUGUGGUUUUUUAUGUUAUAGUACUGGGAGUGAAAACUUGGUGUGCAAUGCAACUUUGGGAGUAGAGAAGAAAAACUCUGGACAUCUCAACUUGACAGAAUGCUAAAGAAGCAGAGAAUGAGAAAAUACCAUUGAUCAGGUCUGCUACUGGAAGCUGUGUAGAUGUAGAACCAGUUCCUGCUACAAAUCCAUCUCGAAUCCUCCCUGCAUUGCCUCAAGCUUCAAUUAGUUGUGGUUAAACUGUACCAUCAAUUCAUAAUGGAAUUUUCUGGAUGAAUACCGUGUUGAUGUUAUUGGA